AGUGAAUGCUGGCGGCAUGCUUAACACAUGCAAGUCGAACGAGGUUUGUCUGCGAUUACAUCAAGGGCAAACCGAGUGGCAGACGGGUGAGUAAUACGUGGACAAUCUGCCUUCGAGUGGGGGAUAACUCCGGGAAACCGGAGCUAAUACCGCGUAAGACCACGUCCCGGCAUCGGGAUGAGGUAAAAGCUCCGCAAGGGGCGCUUGAAGAGGAGUCCACGGCCUAUCAGCUAGUUGGCGGUGUAAAAGACCACCAAGGCGACGACGGGUAAGCGGUCUGAAAGGACGACCGCUCACAAUGGCACUGAGACACGGGCCAUACUCCUACGGGAGGCAGCAGUGGGGAAUUUUGCGCAAUGGGGGAAACCCUGACGCAGCAAUGCCGCGUGGAGGACGAAGGUCUUCGGAUUGUAAACUCCUUUUGGAGGCGAAAAAUACCUGCGUGAAUAACGCAGGCUGAUGGUAUCCUCCGAAUAAGCCACGGCUAACUUCGUGCCAGCAGCCGAC
rnacentral:rRNA from 1 species